GGAGGAGGCGACACCGCGAGAGAGGAAAACACAGCCACGCCGCGCGCGGGCCACGUUUCUGCGUGUGUCUCCGCGGCUCCGCUCCGCUCCGCGCCGGUUACGAAACGCGUGUGCCGCCGCGCCGUCAUGCUACCGCGUGCGUGCCGUGCCGUUCGAUCACGAUGUACAUAUCUCGACGCGACCGUUCCUCGAUCUCCGCCGUCUAGUCGUCGAUCGCACGCAUCUCGGUUGCAUCGUGCUUCCUUCUUCCCCGCCGAUUUCUCUGAAAGAUUUUCCGCGAUUUCUCGAAACUCCCUUUGCCCCGAAACUUCGUUUAGGAUAAAGUUGCCUAAUACGAGGAAUAAUCGCCUAAUAUGAAACUCCAGCUUAUUUCCGUUGUUGAUGUACCGAGUGUCGCGUCGACGCUUCUCCGUUGCGUGUUCAACGUAGAAACAAAUGCUAAUGUCGCGUCACGUGAAAUCAUAGGAAACCACGUGGAAUCCGACCACGCGUGGCAAUGUAUGAACGCAGCGUGACGUGAUCCCGAGCUGUAUCCAACAGAUUCGAAACAAUGGAAGUACGCUGGCUCGCGCUAUUCGAAUGUCACGUGACGUCACGAGAUUUCACGUGACGUCCAGAUCAGUAUGUAUUUCGAAGGAUUACUUAUAUUACGGAUAUCUUAUAAAAAUGUAGAUUGUGAAAGAACACAUAUUAUCGUUUCUAACGCUAGAUUCACGGAGCACAAAAAAAACAGCGGUUUUAUAUUAGUUUAUAAAAGUAACGAUGAGACAUUUGUUCGGAUUUUUAACAGGUGUUAUUGUAACAUUUGCCACCAAUCCAGAAGAAAUAAAUAUUAGACUACGGAUUUUAUGCAUUCACGGUGGAAGUGCAGGGACGGCGAACGAUGCAGCACAUUAAGCUCUGCUUAAAGAUAACAUUUAGCAUUUGAGGAAAAUGAAUUUUGGCUCGAGGCGUCUGGUGACAAAAAUUCCAGACGCUGGAGGAAUGCACGUGUCCGCGUUAAAUCGCACUCGAAGGACUUGUUCUGUCCAUGUUGGGAACUUUUAGCAGCAAGCAUGCCGGAUCGAAAAGGUUAAUGCAUCAAGCUAACCAGUCAGUAUUUUUAGUCUCCACUAUUCUUAACCGCGAUCGGUAUAUCUUGUAAACGAUACUUAGAACUUGGAUCGCCUUGACGGAGUUCGAUAAUAUUCUUCCAACGUCCCACAUUUUCCGAUUCCUCUUUGUCGAUGUAUUUCAGACGAUGACUUCGGCGAAUUUGUGAACUCGCUGAACGUUCGACAAAUUCCGGGUAGAAGUGGACGCAAAUAAAAUUCCGGCGUACCAGAUCGCUGAAAGUUUGCCGCGCCCGUGCAAACGGCGAGCCCCUUCGUUUGAUAAAUGAAUUAUUUCCGAUCCAACGAUCCUAAUUCGAGGCUCGAAUGCCAAGGUCGCCGACGCUUAAAUUAGUUGGCGGACAUUUCCGCGGAUCUAUCGGGAUCGCUGUGACAAAGUGGGUGUACAUUUCGAGUUGUUUGCCGUUUGAACGCGGCUCAGGUUCGCCGAGGAAAUAUCCGACGAGCAAAUACCUGGCGAUCAUCGAGCCAGCCAAGCAAUUCAUUUGCAACACUGUAGACGGUGCAAACAUUCCGACACUGAUAAACUGUCUUUACAUUGGGACGCGUCUUAACGAACACCGUGGUGCCCGAAAGACCGCGUGACUUUAUCGGAUUUGAGAGAGAUUGAACAGUCAAUUGCAAGGAAGUGCAACUGCGAGAGGAAAACGCGUCGAACGAGGAGUAGUAGUCCCGUUGAAAAAUCCAAUUUUUCCGCGGGGGAGGGGGGGGGGGGUAACGUUAUUUUCGCCGGGAAACGAGAAUCCCGAAUAAUUUGCCGGUCUCUUCCCAAGAAAAUUGAAUUCGACGAUAGCCGUCUAUUUUCGGCGGCUUUCCAUUAAGAAACGGCGAAUUAGUUGACGAAGUUCUCCGAUUUCCGAACGCAACUUAAGCGGCCUCCGGUGCUCGUCGAGCCUUGUCCUCGAUUUUCCCCGGAAAUUACGGCGGCCACGUUUAGUCGAAUUAUGGUGACGUAAACAGUGCGGCGAACAAUACCGUGGAAAUUCACGGGGGGAAUCAAAGGGUUAAUUAUUAACCCCGUUAAGCAAUUAACGGCGGUCCGAGAUUCGAACGUCACCGGGCAGCGGUAUCGGUAAUUGCGUUCUGCCGGACGUGACUGAAAAUUCCGUGUCCCCGUGCUGUCCGUCCUGAAACGACGUUUGAUAAAAACCUAACAGAGUGCUGACUAUCGAACGCUCGUCCGUAUUUACUGUAGCACGUUCCUCAUCAUCCUAUGUUUUCCAGGUUUCAUCGAUGACUAGACUGCGGAUUUUAUGCAUUUAUAACAGAAAUUAGUAGACGAAGUGCAAACAUGUAAAUACAUUAAAACAAUUUAACAAUAUCACCGCAUUAUUUUUCGAUACAUCGAUAUCGCUAAAUAAAGAAAUAUAUUUUUAUCUAACUCUUGUUUCUUCCAGUUAACACAGAAAUGGUUGAUUUUGCACAGAUAUCCGCAGUUUAUUGGUGACAAGAGAACAGAACAACAUAAAAAAAGGAAUAACAGUCAUACUUAUUAAAUUAUUGCUGGAAAUCGCCAGUUAGGAUCGUUAAAGUACGGUAAAUAAGAAAGAUGGUUUCCAUCGCCUGAAUUUAUUUGAACCCUCUACGGACCAAAUUGAAAAAAUUGUUUAAAUCAUCACGGGGAAAGAGUGCGUUGAAUUAAAAACAUUGUCCACGUACUGUACAGCGUCUAAUUGUUCAUUAUUUCGAUUAAAGAGCCACUUUUCAUUUCA